rnacentral:rRNA from 1 species
UUGACCUCAAAUCAAGCAAGACUACCCGCUGAACUUAAGCAUAUCAAUAAGCGGAGGAAAAGAAACUAACAAGGAUUCCCCUAGUAACUGCGAGUGAAGCGGGAAAAGCUCAAAUUUAAAAUCUGACAGUGGUUUCACUGUCCGAAUUGUAAUCUAGAGAAGUGUUGCUCACACUGGA